rnacentral:rRNA from 1 species
UGAAUACGAGACGCUAAGGCGUCGAAGUAGUGUAUGUCAUACUUCCAAGAAAAGCUUGCACUGUCAUAGAUAAAAAACGCCUGUACCAUAACCGACACAGGUGGGUAGGUAGAGUAUACUAAGGGGCGCGAGAUAACUCUCUCUAAGGAACUCGGCAAAAUGACUCCGUAACUUCGGGAGAAGGAGUGCCUUAUUCUUAAGGUUGCAAUAACAAGAUCCAAGCAACUGUUUAUCAAAAACACAGGUCUCCGCUAAGUCGUAAGACGAUGUAUGGGGGCUGACGCCUGCCCAGUGCCAGAAGGUUAAAGAAGUUGGUUAGCAUUUGCGAAGCUGAUAACUGAAGCCCUGGUGAACGGCGGCCGUAACAAUAACGGUCCUAAGGUAGCGAAAUUCCUUGUCGGGUAAGUUCCGACCCGCACGAAAGGCGUAAUGAUUUGGAUACUGUCUCGGAGAGGGGCUCGGUGAAAUAGACUUGUCUGUGAAGACGCGGACUACCUGCACCAGGACAGAAAGACCCUAUGAAGCUUUACUGUAACUUGAAAUUGAAAUUGGACUUUAUUCGCGCAGUAUAGGUGGGAGGCGUUGAUUAUAAUCUUGCGGGAUUAUUGGAGCCAUCAGUGAGAUACCACCCUUGUAAUGUUAGAUUUCUAACUUUGAAUCAUUAUCUGGUCAAAGAACAGUUUCAGGCGGGCAGUUUGACUGGGGCGGUCGCCUCCUAAACGGUAACGGAGGCGUACAAAGGUUUCCUCUGAACGGUUAGAAAUCGUAUCUAGAGUGUAAAGGCAUAAGGAAGCUUGACUGUGAGACCUACAAGUCGAGCAGGGACGAAAGUCGGUCUUAGUGAUCUGACGGUACUGAGUGGAAAGGCCGUCACUCAACGGAUAAAAGUUACUCUAGGAUAACAGGCUGAUCUCCCCCAAGAGUUCACAUCGACGGGGAGGUUUGGCACCUCGAUGUCGGCUCAUCGCAUCCUGGGGCGGUAGUACGUCCCAAGGGUUGGGCUGUUCGCCCAUGAAAGCGGUACGCGAGCUGGGUUCAGAACGUCGUGAGACAGUUCGGUCCAUAUCCGGUGUAGGCGUUAGAAUAUUGAGAGGAGCCUUCUUUAGUACGAGAGGACCGAGAAGGACAUACCUCUGGUGUACCAGUUAUCGUGCCAACGGUAAACGCUGGGUAGCUAUGUAUGGAGUGGAUAACCGCUGAAAGCAUCUAAGUGGGAAGCCCACCUCAAGAUAAGUAUUCC